CCUCUAUCUUCAUCUUUCAUUAUUGUGUUUGGACCAUCAUCAAAACCAGAGCCUGGAGCAAGUUCAUUUAGAUCAAGGAAACGCCGCUUUCUUACACCCUCAACUUCAUCUUCGCCCAGGGCUAUUUGAUUUCUCUGGUGGCUGAUUUUGCUGUUUCUCUGCAGUCUGAGUGUAACCUUCAACAGGCUGAUCAACUUUCAUAUCUUGCUCUUCAUCCUCAUUCUCAUCAGAAUCUUGACUUCCAGCUGAAUACUCUUUCUCACUAGCAUCUGAGUGUUCAUCUGAUGCAUUUGAUUUUUCAGGCUUCAUUGACUCUGUUUCUGAUUCUGACAGCUCAUAUUGCCGAUAAUUAAUCCGGUUUCUGGUAGCCCUUCUGCUGCGUCUCAAACCUGAUUGAAGCUCAUCGACAGACCUUAAUUUAGUUUCCCUCCGUGU
rnacentral:misc_RNA from 1 species